UGUUCCGACGGUACAGGCUUAUGAAUAGGUGACGUUUCAAAGCUUUCUUAAAAAUGAAAAAAAAACUCUUAGCGCUUCCGCGACGCUCCCCGCGAGCACCAUGGGAGAACCCUAGCGCCGCCACCCUCCGGGCGUCCUCCUUCCCUUCUUCCCCACGCCGCCGUCGGUGGGCGCGGGCGGCGGCAGGGAUUCUCCUCCUCUCCCUUCUAGAUUCAUGGGCUGCGGGGGGAGGGGGGGCUUCUGUGGCGGGGGCGCGGGCGCGGUUUCGGCCUCUGGCGGCGGGGUCAGGCGGUGCGGCGCUGUUGCGGGGCGUCCCGGUCGGCUCCGGGGUAUGGCAGCGGCGGCCGGCUGGGACUCUGCCUAGAUCCGGUUCGUCUCUUCCCUUGGUGCCUCGGGUGCUACUCGAGGCUGAAGUGUUCGCGGCGCAGCUGGGGUGGCCUGCCGGCGGUGGCAUGGAUGGCUAGGACGCAUCGGGCUUCCUGGUCCAGGGAGCGAGCGUGGCUGUCGGGCGGAGGUGCGUUUGGUGGCGGUGUAUCUGCAGUUCUGCACAUCGGCUCCCUACGGCGCGGGCUGAGAGUGCCGUGGCCUGGUGACCCCGAGGUCGUCGGGCGGCAGGUGCAGACAGCAGCUCUUCUCACGGGCGUGGAGGCGGGGCUGAGGUUAGUGGGUGGUGGCUAUGGUGUUGAACGGCGGUGACGGACUUGGCUAGGCGAGCCGAGGGGUUAUGCAGAGAAGAAGACUGACACUGUUGUAGUUCCUAUAGUCGGAAACAACUUUGAUUCACUUGGAGAAGCAUAUGACUAUUUACAAUCUGUAUUCCUGGGAAAUUAGGUUUGGAAUUAGGUAUGGAAAAAGGAGACUGAACGUUGAGAGAACAAAAUGUAUGCAGGAGAUAGUCUGCGACUGCUCGGGGGUCCCAAAAAGAAGUAAUACACGGUCUUGCCAGUGUAGGUGCCCAGCGAUGAUAUGGUUGCUCCGGUCAAAAGACAACAGCUGGUACAUAAACGAGCACAUGACAUCCCAUAAUCACUCUCUUACAGAUAAGUCUGGCUAGAAACUAUACUCGUAGACAUACAGAUGUAUAUACACAUGACCUUGUUAAGUAGCUCCGUGAAAAUAAUAUUUGCUUCAGCAAGGUGUACAAUAUAAUUUAUACACUCGGAUUGCCACCAUAAAACGUUCUCUUGGAUAUAGCUUUUCGGUGCCACCAAAAAUUGUUUCUAUUGGUGUCGAUGAUCACUCGUAAAAUGAAAAGAAUUGGGUGGUGUGUUGAAAUUGUGAGAUAGCCAUGUAGGACGAGGUGCUCUAUUGUACUUGAGUAAGGAUCUGGAGUAUUAGUCGUGUUCUUGCCUGAAGGACUUACUUUUAGACUAGACUAUUUACAGAUCAGAGACUGACAUUCACAUGUGAAUUACUUAAUUCCAUAUGUUACAACUUAAUACCGUACUUAGUACAGUACUAUUACUGACUUUGGUUUAUUGAGUGACCUUGCAUCAGUACCAUAUUUAGCAUCUAUAGAACACUUGUGUAGUUUCUUGGUUUUAAACAUUUAAUCAGCUUCCAUCCACUUCAAAUGUAGUUAAUUGGCCUUAGUUUUAUCAGCAGUCCAUUACUCCCUCUGUUCCAAAAUAGAUGACUCAACUUUGUAUUAACUUUAGUAUAAAGUUGGGUCAUCUAUUUUGGAACGGAGGGAGUAUUUGAUAAUUGAUAGACUUAGAAUUGAAGUAGCUUUUGUACAGCAUGGCAGCUGCUGUCGAAUAUGAAUGAUGAUUGAUGAAUGCUUGCUCCUUGUACUGCUUGCCGUUAGGUAGCAUGGCAUGGGGGGACGAGGAUCAAUCAAGCACUUGAUAAAAGAGACACCAAAUGGGGAAGUAUUAUCUAUUCUGAUCUCUUUCUCAUUAAUUUUCUAUCUUAACUCUAUAUUUACAUGGCAUAUUUUUAUUUUAUUUCAUAUAUACUCGCCGUAUUUCUGAAUGGCUGUUUCUGGAACAUGUCGUAUCCUAUGUCCCCGUAUGCGUAUCCCCGUCUUUCCGUCCCCGUGUCCAUGCUUUUUAGCUUAUUACUACCUAUAUUUGUGAAAUGUCUUAAUGUUGUUGUGCUAUAUUUACGAAAUUUUAUACAUUAGAUUGUGUGCUUAAUACUGCUACACUUGCAAAAUGUCCGAUGAGCGGUUUCGGAUAUGAUAAGUUUGAAUGGGUACAAUGCAGCUGGGACUAACCAAAUAGUUAAUCAAUAGCAGGGAUUACAAGGUUGCUAGGGAAUCAACCUCCACAAAGAUUGAUUGACAAGUACGGGAUCAACCCAAUCACUGGGUGGAUUAGUUCCACUAGGGGAUUGGCCGGUCCCCCUAUAACCAAACAAGGCCUACGGUUGUCCUGCAUCUGGUGGAACAUCGUAACAAAGAUGGACUUUGCCUUAAACGUGUAGCCAGUUUCAGAAAUGGUGUUCAUCGUGUACUUUGUUUUUCCUGUAGGGCAGCACGGGUGAUGAAAGCUAACACGUCAUCGGAGCAGCAUGCGAGUGAGGUGUACACUAGGGCCCAUGUUCGAGAAGUUUGGCCAGAUACUGUAGGAAGCAGGGCAGUACAGGGUCGAACCUGUUGAGCAAGGCAUGAAGUACCUAGUGCGGCGGCACAAUCCGGAGAGGCAUGACAAACGGUGCAAGGUGGUG